rnacentral:rRNA from 1 species
AUUGAACGCUGGCGGCAUGCCUUACACAUGCAAGUCGAACGGUAACAGGUUAAGCUGACGAGUGGCGAACGGGUGAGUAAUACAUCGGAACGUGCCCAGACGUGGGGGAUAGCUCGGCGAAAGCCGGAUUAAUACCGCAUAAGCUCUGAGGAGGAAAGCGGGGGACCGUAAGGCCUCGCGCGUUUGGAGUGGCCGAUGGCAGAUUAGGUAGUUGGUGGGGUAAAGGCUUACCAAGCCAACGGUCUGUAGCUGGUCUGAGAGGACGACCAGCCACACUGGGACAGAGACACGGCCCAGACUCCUACGGGAGGCGGCAGUGGGAAAUUUUGGACAAUGGGCGCAAGCCUGAUCCAGCAAUGCCGCGUGCAGGAUGAAGGCCUUCGGGUUGUAAACUGCUUUUGUACGGAACGAAAAGGCGCCUACUAAUACUGGGUGUUGAUGACGGUACCGUAAGAAUAAGCACCGGCUAACUACGUGCCAGCCGCCGCCGUAACAC